rnacentral:rRNA from 1 species
UACGUAGGGUGCAAGCGUUGUCCGGAAUUAUUGGGCGUAAAGAGCUCGUAGGCGGUCUGUCGCGUCUGGUGUGAAAACUCGGGGCUUAACUCCGGGCCUGCAUCGGGUACGGGCAGACUAGAGUGCGGUAGGGGAGACUGGAAUUCCUGGUGUAGCGGUGAAAUGCGCAGAUAUCAGGAGGAACACCAAUUGCGAAGGCAGCUCGCUGGGACGCUACUGACGCUGAGACGCGAAAGCGUGGGGAGCAAACAGG